UACAGAGGGUGCGAGCGUUAAUCGGAAUCACUGGGCGUAAAGCGUGCGUAGACGGCUAUCUAAGUCGGGUGUGAAAGCCCCGGGCUCAACCUGGGAAUUGCAUUCGAGACUGAAUAGCUAGGGUGCGGUAGAGGGAAGCGGAAUUUCCGGUGUAGCGGUGAAAUGCGUAGAUAUCAGGAGGAACACCUGCGGUGUAGACGGCUUACUGGACCAUAACUGACGCUGAGGCACGAAAGCGUGGGUAGCAAACAGG
rnacentral:rRNA from 1 species